rnacentral:rRNA from 1 species
GACGAACGCUGGCGGUGUGCUUAACACAUGCAAGUCGAACGAAGAGCGAUGGAAGCUUGCUUCUAUCAAUCUUAGUGGCGAACGGGUGAGUGACGCGUAAUCAACCUGCCCUUCAGAGGGGGACAACAGUUGGAAACGACUGCUAAUACCGCAUACGAUCUAAUCUCGGCAUCGAGGAUAGAUGAAAGGUGGCCUCUACAUGUAAGCUAUCACUGAAGGAGGGGAUUGCGUCUGAUUAGCUAGUUGGAGGGGUAACGGCCCACCAAGGCGAUGAUCAGUAGCCGGUCUGAGAGGAUGAACGGCCACAUUGGGACUGAGACACGGCCCAGACUCCUACGGGAGGCAGCAGUGGGGAAUCUUCCGCAAUGGACGAAAGUCUGACGGAGCAACGCCGCGUGAGCGAUGACGGCCUUCGGGUUGUAAAGCUCUGUUAAUCGGGACGAAAGGCCUUCUUGCGAAUAGUGAGAAGGAUUGACGGUACCGGAAGAGAAAGCCACGGCUAACUACGUG